rnacentral:rRNA from 1 species
UACGUAGGGGGCAAGCGUUGUCCGGAAUCAUUGGGCGUAAAGCGCGUGUAGGCGGCUGGGUAAGUCCGCUCUGAAAGCCCGGGGCUCAACCCCGGGAGGCGGGUGGAUACUGCUCAGCUCGAGUCCGGAAGAGGAGUGUGGAAUUCCUGGUGUAGCGGUGAAAUGCGCAGAUAUCAGGAGGAACACCGGUGGCGAAGGCGGAUCUCUGGGCCGAUACUGACGCUGAGGAGCGAAAGCGUGGGGAGCGAACAGG